CAGCCGCGGUAAUACGAAGGGGGCUAGCGUUGUGCGGAAUUACUGGGCGUAAAGGGCGUGUAGGCGGCUGACUAAGGCACGUGUGAAAGCCCCGGGCUUAACCCGGGAAUUGCGCGUGAGACUGGUCGGCUAGAAUCCGGGAGAGGGUAGUGGAAUUCCCAGUGUAGAGGUGAAAUUCGUAGAUAUUGGGAAGAACACCAGUGGCGAAGGCGGCUACCUGGACCGGUAUUGACGCUAAGGCGCGAAAGCGUGGGGAGCAAAC
rnacentral:rRNA from 1 species